rnacentral:lncRNA from 1 species
CCCUGAUUUCCCCCCAAAAAACUCUAAUCUCCCCACAAAUGCUCCGAUUUCCCCCCAAAAUGCCCUGAUUUCCCCCCAAAAACCUCCCAUUUCUCCCCAAAAAGCUCUGAUUUCCCUCCAAAACACCCUGAUUUCCCCCCAAAAAGCUCUGAUUUCCCACAAAAAAGCUCCCAUUUCCCCCCAAAAACUCCGAUUUCCCUCCAAAAUGCUCUGAUUUCCCCCCAAAAUGUUCCAAUUUCCCCCCCAUUUUAGUGAUGGGUGCCCAUGGGUGCCGAUGGGUGCCCGUGGAUUACAUUGGGUGCCAAUGGGGGCCAGUAGGGUGGCAGUGGGGGGCAAUGGGUGCCCAUAGGCGCCAAUGGGUGCCAAUGGGUGCCAAUGGGGGUCAAUGGGUGCCAAUGGGGGCCAGUGGGUGCCAAUGGGUGCCAAUGGGGGUCAAUGGGGAUCAAUGGGUGCCAAUGGGGGCCAGUGGGUGCCAAUGGGUGCCAAUGGGGGUCAAUGGGGGUCAAUGGGUGCCAAUGGGUACCAAUGGGUGCCAAUGGGGGCCAGUGGGUGCCAAUGGGUGCCAAUGGAGGCCAAUGGGUGCCAAUGGGUGCCAAUGGGGGUCAAUAGGUGCCAAUGGGUGCCAAUGGGUUCUAUGGGUGCCAAUGGGGGCCAAUGGGUGCCAAUGGGGGGCAAUGAGGGCCAAUGGGUGCCAAUGAGGGCCAAUGGGUGCCAAUGGGUGCCAAUGGGUCCCAAUGGGUUUCAAUGGGUUUUAAUGGGUGCCAAUGGGUUUUAAUGGGUGCCAAUGGGCCACAAUAGGUGCCAAUGGGUGCCAAUGGGUGCCAAUGGGGGCCAGUGGGUUAUAAUGGGUGCCGAUGGAUUACAAUGGGUGCCAAUGGGUGCCAAUGAGUUACAAUGGGUGCCAACAGGUUACAGUGGGUUACGAGUGCCAAUGGGGGCAAUGAGGGCCAAUGGGUGCCAGUGGGGGGCAAUGGACGGCAAUGGGUGCCAAUGGGGGUCAAUGGGGGCCAAUGGGGGCCAGUGGGUUAUAAUGGGUGCCAAUGGGUUACAAUGAGUUUUAAUGGGUGCCUAUGCAUUACAAUGGGUGCCAAGGGGUGGCUGCCAUCACUGCAGCCCCUUCAGCCAAGCGGCGGUGCGACGCCUGGCGGUCCUCCAGGCCACACGGGGUCAAUGGGUGCCAAUGGCUUACAAUGGGUGCCAAUGGGUUCUAUGGGUGCCAAUGGAUUACAAUGGGUGCCAAUGGGGGCCAGUGGGUUACAAUGGGUGCCAAUGGGUGCCAAUGAGUUACAAUGGGAGCCAAUGGGGGCCAGUGGGUUACAAUGGGUGCCAAUGGGGGCCAAUGAGUUACAAUGGGUGCCAAUGGGGGCCAAUGGGUGCCAAUGGGUGCCAAUGGGGGCCAAUGAGUUACAAUGGGUGCCAAUGGGCGCCAAUGGGUGCCAAUGGGUGCCAAUGGGGGCCAAUGAGUUACAAUGGGUGCCAAUGGGGGCCAAUGGGAGCCAAUGGGUGCCAAU